rnacentral:rRNA from 1 species
CGACCUACGGGGGGCAGCAGUGGGGGAUAUUGCACAAUGGGGGAAACCCUGAUGCAGCGACGCCGCGUGAGUGAAGAAGUAUUUCGGUACGUAAAGCUCUAUCAGCAGGGAAGAAUAAUGGCGGUACCUGACUAAGAAGACCCGGCUAACUACGUGCCAGCAGCCGCGGUAAUACGUAGGGGGCAAGCGUUAUCCGGAUUUACUGGGUGUAAAGGGAGCGUAGACGGCUGGGCAAGUCUGAAGGG